rnacentral:rRNA from 1 species
UACGUAGGGGGGCAAGCGUUGUCCGGAAUCAUUGGGCGUAAAAGCGCGUGUAGGCGGCUGGCUAAGUCCGCUCUGAAAAGCCCGGGGCUCAACCCCGGGAGGCGGGUGGAUACUGGUCAGCUCGAGUCCGGAAGAGGAGUGUGGAAUUCCUGGUGUAGCGGUGAAAUGCGCAAGAUAUCAGGAAGAACACCGGUGGCGAAGGCGGCUCUCUGGGCCAUUACUGACGCUGAGGAGCGAAAGCGUGGGAGCAAACAGG